AUUUCCGGAAAAUUUGCAUAAAACUAGCAAGUGAGCUUUGUUCCCUGUAAUGCUCUCAUGAUUUCAAGCUAGAUUUAAUCAAAUGAAAGUGCGCUGUUCUAGCUCAAGUUGUGUCACAAAAUUAAUUACGUUCUUGGGACUUUUCCGAGUUUCAGAGGUGCUCAAUAGAUGGCGAGUGUCCUUGUUUUUCAUGUAAUGGCGUAUUGUUGUGUUGUUGUCAAAAGUUCCUAUUUUUCCACGAAAUUACCGAUUAAUUCAUAAGUAAAUUCAAGUUUAUUUCUGUACAACUUGUUUGAUUCAUUUUUCUGUGUGUGUAUUGGAUCACAUUUGGAAUGAAACAGGAGGAAGGAACGCGAAAGGAAGCAUCAGCCUUCAAGUAGCUAUCAACAACCCUUUCAUAAUCGACUUUCUGCUGAAUGCAUCAUCCAGUUAAUACAGGUCACUAAUCCCAGCGUGGACAUGUAUUGUUUUUUUCCGAACUUGUUUUACUACAAAUGUUGCAUUGACAGACAAGGAAAGCUAUGGAAACAUUAUGUAGGACAUGAGUAAUCUUAGAAGUCACGUGAAAAGAUGCAGGGCAGGGCACUUACCAACAUAUGUUCAACACUGCUGCGGCUGCCUACAGUCACAGGCAGGAAUAUUGCUGUCUUUCUUCAGACAAUUGCAAAGCUAUUGGAGUAAUUUAGUCUUCAUCCCCACUUGACUCAUUUUGUCUUCUGGGUAGCUUAGGAAACCUGAUUGGUGUUAUCAAGCCAUUCUGAUAAUGACCGAAAGGAUGCGGCCCAUAGACUGUGAACAUCAGACGGGAUCAGACUUCAGCAUCUCUACGAGCCACGACAUAAACGUGCAGUGACAUCCUACAAGUUCAACGCGGAUCAUCUUUUGUUAUUGUUGGUAUGAGUGUUUUGUUAGUUAACCCGUUGGCUGCCACGCCUUUGUUCUCCCCCAUGUUAGCUCCUUAGCACGGGCCGCACUGUUUGGUCUCUUGGUCUUAUGUGCCUUGGGAUCGAACAGCUGCACCUGCCCAAGAUUCGCCGAAAGGCCCUGUUAGGCAAUGCACCAUAGGGACUUCCCCCCUUGUCGAUACGGUGAUGGAUUCUAG